AGUGAACGCUGGCGGCAGGCCUAACACAUGCAAGUCGAACGGCAGCACAGGAGAGCUUGCUCUCUGGGUGGCGAGUGGCGGACGGGUGAGGAAUAUAUCGGAAUCUACCCUUCCGUGGGGGAUAACGUAGGGAAACUUACGCAAAUACCGCAUACGAACUGAGGCUGAAAGCGGCGGACCGCAAGGCCUCGCGCGGAUGGAUGAGACGAUAUCCGAUUAGCUAGUUGGCGGGGUAAAGGCCCACAAAGGCGACGAUCGGUAGCUGGUCUGAGAGGAUGAUCAGCCACACUGGAACUGAGACACGGUCCAGACUCCUAAGGGAGGCAGCAGUGGGGAAUAUUGGACAAUGGGCGCAAGCCUGAUCCAGCCAUGCCUCGUGUGUGAAGAAGGCCUUCGGGUUGUAAAGCACUUUUGUUGGGAAAGAAAAGCGGUCGGUUAAUACCCGGUCGUUCUGACGGUACCCAAAGAAUAAGCACCGGCUAACUUCGUGCCAGCCGCCGCGGUAA
rnacentral:rRNA from 1 species